rnacentral:rRNA from 1 species
AUUGAACGCUGGCGACAUGCCUUACACAUGCAAGUCGAACGGCAGCACGGGUGCUUGCACCUGGUGGCGAGUGGCGAACGGGUGAGUAAUACAUCGGAACAUGUCCUGUAGUGGGGGAUAGCCCGGCGAAAGCCGGAUUAAUACCGCAUACGAUCUACGGAUGAAAGCGGGGGACCUUCGGGCCUCGCGCUAUAGGGUUGGCCGAUGGCUGAUUAGCUAGUUGGUGGGGUAAAGGCCUACCAAGGCGACGAUCAGGAGCUGGUCUGAGAGGACGACCAGGCACACUGGGACUGAGACACGGCCCAGACUCCUACGGGAGGCAGCAGUGGGGAAUUUUGGGCAAUGGGCGAAAGCCUGAUCCAGCAAUGCCGCGUGUGUGAAGAAGGCCUUCGGGUUGUAAAGCACUUUUGUCCGGAAAGAAAUCCUUGGCCCUAAUACGGUCGGGGGAUGACGGUACCGGAAGAAUAAGCACCGGCUAACUACGUG